rnacentral:tRNA from 1 species
GCUUCCAUAGUGUAGCAGUUAGCAUGUCUGCUUUACAAGCAGGAGGUCCUGGGUUCAUGCCCCAGUGGAGCUA